AUCCAACUGUACGAGUCCCAAAUAGGACGAAACGUACGCCCUAGAU
rnacentral:hammerhead_ribozyme from 1 species